GUCUUCCCGGCCGGGUGGCACUGACCGGUCAUGCUCAGGGCCCCCUUCUGGUUGCCGGUGCCUCACCUCUGGCCAGGUGGCAUCGGCUUCCGGGUAAAUCUGAGCUGCCCAAAGCGAGCCUCCGGAGGCUGCUCCAUCUCCUGGAACGUUUACUCAUUCAGGCCUCUGGACGUCGAUACUGGGGAUGAAAAGUUCAGAAAGUGGACAGGCAGAUUCCUGGUCUUCAGUCCAGACCUACUGAGUUAAAAUAUUGAGGAGAGAUGGAGCUCAACAGAUGCCCUAGGUGACUCUGAUGUGGCCUAAGUCUGGGGAAACAGUACACCCUGCAGUACUUCUCCAACCUAACAGAAAUGCGGAUUCUGAUUCGGUAGGUAUGGGAUGGGGCCCAUGACUCUACAUUUCUAACAGGCUCUCGGGUAUUGCCAAUGCUACCCAUCCCUGGACCAUACUUGGAGUAUGAG
rnacentral:lncRNA from 1 species